UGAGUAACCUGCCCUUAACUCUGGGAUAAGCCUGGGAAACUGGGUCUAAUACCGGAUAUGACUCCUCAUCGCAUGGGUGGGGGGUGGAAAGCUUUAUUGUUGGUUUUGGAUGGACUCGCGGCCUAUCAGCUUGUUGGUGAGGUAAUGGCUCACCAAGGCGACGACGGGUAGCCGGCCUGAGAGGGUGACCGGCCACACUGGGACUGAGACACGGCCCAGACCUCCGUACGGGGAGCAG
rnacentral:rRNA from 1 species